rnacentral:rRNA from 1 species
GGGUGAGCUAUCCGUGGGCAGGCUGAAGCGGGGGUAAGACCCCGUGGAGGGCCGAACGCACGUCGGUUGAAAACGGCGGCGAUGACCUGCGGAUAGGGGUGAAAGGCCAAUCAAACCCGGAGAUAUCUCGUUCUCCCCGAAAUAGCUUUAGGGCUAGCGUCGCGCGUUCACCGCCGGAGGUAGAGCACCGGAUGGACGAGGGGGCUUCGCCGCCUACCGAAUCCAACCGAACUCCGAAUGCCGGCGGCCCAGAGCGCGGCAGUCAGAGCAUGUGGGCUAAGCUGUGUGCUCGAGAGGGAAACAGCCCGGACCGCCCGCUAAGGUCCCCAAGUUCCAGCCGAGUGGCAAAGGAUGUGCGUCCGCCCAGACAACCAGGAUGUUGGCUUAGAAGCAGCCAUCCAUUCAAAGAGUGCGUAACAGCUCACUGGUCGAGUGGACAUGCGCCGACAAUACACGGGGCUAAGCUGGACACCGAAGCGGCGGGAUUUUGAUUUUCAGAAUCGGUAGGGGAGCUUCCCAUGGGCGGAGAAGCCGGAGGGCGACCGACGGUGGAGCGCAUGGGAGUGAGAAUGCUGGCAUGAGUAGCGAGAGACGAGAGAGUAACUCGUCCGCCGUGAACCCGAGGUUUCCUGGGCAAGGCUAAUCCUCCCAGGGUCAGUCGGGGGCUAAGGCGAGGCCGGGAGGCGUAGCCGACGCGCAGCAGGCAGACAUUCCUGCACCGCGCACGCGGCGCUACGACCGACGGGGCGACGGAUGGGGGUGGCUCGGCGGGGUUCUGGACGUCCCCGUGAUGGAGCGCGGCCCGCGGACCAGGGAAAUCCGGUCCGCACGAAGGGCGAGGCUCCGGACGAAGCGAUUGAGCGAAGCGAGUGAGCCCGAGGUCCCUAGAAAAACCCCUAGGCAGGCGCGUGCGCGCCCGUACCGCAAACCGACACAGGUGGGUGGGUAGAACAUACCGAGGCGAUCGGGUCAACCAUGGUCAAGGAACUCGGCACAAUGGCCCCGUAACUUCGGGAGAAGGGGUGCCCGCGCGUACGUGAACCGGCUUGCCCGGGGAGCGGAGGCGGGCCGCAGUGGAGAGGCCCAAGCGACUGUUUACCAAAAACACAGGACUCUGCAGAAGCCGCAAGGCGACGUAUAGGGUCUGACGCCUGCCCGGUGCCGGAAGGUCACGCGGAGGAGUUAGCCGUUAAGGCGAAGCCCCGAAGCCAAGCCCCGGUAAACGGCGGCCGUAACUAUAACGGUCCUAAGGUAGCGAAAUUCCUUGUCGGGUAAGUUCCGACCUGCACGAAAGGCGCAACGACUUGGGCGCUGUCUCGACCAUGGACCCGGUGAAAUUGCACUGGUCGUGAAGAUGCGACUUACCCGCGGAAGGACGGAAAGACCCCGUGAACCUUCACUGCAGCUUGGCAUUGGCCGCUGGUCCCGCGUGUAGAGGAUAGGCAGGAGGCAUCGAUCCGGAGGCGCCAGCCCCCGGGGAGCCGCCCUUGGAAUACUGCCCUCGCGCGACCGGCGUCCUAACCCGAGGCCGUCAACCGGCUCGGGGACCGUGCCAGGCGGGCAGUUUGACUGGGGCGGUCGCCUCCUAAAGGGUAACGGAGGCGCGCGAAGGUCCGCUCGGGACGGUCGGCAACCGUCCUUUUGAAUGCAAGAGUACAAGCGGGCUUGACUGCGAGGCCCACAAGCCGAGCAGGUGCGAAAGCAGGCUCUAGUGAUCCGGCGGCCCCGAGUGGGUGGGCCGUCGCUCAACGGAUAAAAGGUACUCCGGGGAUAACAGGCUGAUCUUGCCCAAGAGUCCACAUCGACGGCAAGGUUUGGCACCUCGAUGUCGGCUCAUCGCAUCCUGGGGCUGGAGCAGGUCCCAAGGGUACGGCUGUUCGCCGUUUAAAGCGGUACGCGAGCUGGGUUCAGAACGUCGUGAGACAGUUCGGUCCCUAUCCUCCGUGGGCGCAGGAGAAUCGAUGGAGGCUGCCCCCAGUACGAGAGGACCGGGGUGGACGCACCUCCGGUGAACCGGUUGUCGACCAACGGCACGGCCGGGUAGCCGCGUGCGGCGCGGAUAACCGCUGAAGGCAUCUAAGCGGGAAGCCGUUCCAGGGAUUAGUUCUCCUUCCGGUAAGGGCCCAGGUAGACUACCUGGUCGAUAGACGGCAGGUGCAAGGACGGCGACGUCCUCAGCCGAGCCGCACUAAUCGCCCGAGCUCUUCCGGAA